rnacentral:rRNA from 1 species
UACGUAGGGGGCAAGCGUUGUCCGGAUUUACUGGGGGGAAAGGGUGCUCAGGUGGACUUUUAAGUCAGAGGUGAAAUCCCAAAGCUUAACUUUGGAGCUGCCUUUGAUACUGAAAGUCUUGAGUUUGAGAGAGGGCAAUGGAAUAUCUGGUGUAGCAGUGAAAUGCGCAGAUAUCAGGAGGAACACCGAUUGCGAAGGCAGCUCGCUGGAACGUUACUGACGCUGAGACGCGAAAGCGUGGGGAGCAAACAGG